CCGGGUAGUCUCGGAUCGUAAGCUCUGUUGCCAGGGAAGAACGUCUUGUAGAGUAACUGCUACAAGAGUGACGGUACCUGAGAAGAAAGCCCCGGCUAACUACGUGCCAGCAGCCGCGGUAAUACGUAGGGGGCAAGCGUUGUCCGGAAUUAUUGGGCGUAAAGCGCGCGCAGGCGGCUCUUUAAGUCUGGUGUUUAAUCCCGAGGCUCAACUUCGGGUCGCACUGGAAACUGGGGAGCUUGAGUGCAGAAGAGGAGAGUGGAAUUCCACGUGUAGCGGUGAAAUGCGUAGAGAUGUGGAGGAACACCAGUGGCGAAGGCGACCACCAA
rnacentral:rRNA from 1 species